GCGAGCCGUAUACAGUGAAAGCUGUACGUACGGUUCUGAGGGGGGGACUGUGAGACCUAUUUGGGUAACUAAAUAAGGCGCACGCUCCCUACCCUAC
rnacentral:ncRNA from 1 species